UAGCUGUCUUCUGUUUUUAGAUUAUAAGUUGAUUAAGGAGUGAAAAUGCUCUUAUUAAACAUAUUAGACGAGAAGACCCUAAGAGUUAUUAACAAAGAGAAAUGUUUUUCCCUGUUUUUUUGUUGGGGCAACAUAAGUACACUGUUCGAAUUACUUAAUUAUAACUAUAAUAUAUGGGUCGAAAUUUUUUAAGCGUAAUAUAACUACCUUAGGGAUAACAGCAUAAUUUAAGUUUUAAGAUUGUGACCUCGAUGUUGGACUAG
rnacentral:rRNA from 1 species